rnacentral:rRNA from 1 species
UACGAGUGCCUCAAGCGUUAUCCGGAAUCAUUGGGCGUAAAGGGUGUGUAGGUGGUCUUGUUAGUCUUCUGUCAAAUUCUUCGGCUUAACCGGGGGUCCGCGGAGGAAACGGCAAGACUCGAGGGUGCGAGGGGUGAAUGGAACUCAUAGUGUAGGGGUGAAAUCCGUUGAUAUUAUGGGGAACACCAAAAGCGAAGGCAAUUCACUGGCGCAUUCCUGACACUGAAACACGAAAGCGUGGGUAGCGAAUGGG